UACAGAGGGUGCGAGCGUUAAUCGGAAUUACUGGGCGUAAAGGGCGUGUAGGUGGUUAUGUAAGUUUGAUGUGAAAGCCCCGGGCUUAACCUGGGAACUGCGUUGAAAACUGCAAGACUAGAGUUGGACAGAGGGUGGUGGAAUUUCCGGUGUAGCGGUGAAAUGCGUAGAGAUCGGAAAGAACAUCCGUGGCGAAGGCGGCCACCUGGGUCCAAACUGACACUGAGGCGCGAAAGCGUGGGGAGCAAACAGG
rnacentral:rRNA from 1 species